rnacentral:rRNA from 1 species
CUGGGUAACCUGCCUUAUGAGGGGGAGUAACAGAGAGAAAUCACUGCUAAUACCGCAUAAGCACACAUUGCCGCAUGGCAGAGUGUGAAAAGAUUUAUCGCCAUAAGAUGGACCCGCGUCUGAUUAGCCAGUUGGCAGGGUAAAAGCCUACCAAAGCAACGAUCAGUAGCCGAUCUGAGAGGAUGACCGGCCACAUUGGGACUGAGACACGGCCCAA